AACGAACGCUGGCGGCAGGCUUAACACAUGCAAGUCGAGCGCCCCGCAGGGGGAGCGGCAGACGGGUGAGUAACGCGUGGGAAUCUACCCAUCCCUACGGAAUAGCUCCGGGAAACUGGAAUUAAUACCGUAUACGCCCUACGGGGGAAAGAUUUAUCGGGGAUGGAUGAGCGCGCGUUGGAUUAGCUAGUUGGUGGGGUAAAGGCCUACCAAGGCGACGAUCCAUAGCUGGUCUGAGAGGAUGAUCAGCCACAUUGGGACUGAGACACGGCCCAAACUCCUACGGGAGGCAGCAGUGGGGAAUAUUGGACAAUGGGGGCAACCCUGGUCCAGCCAUGCCGCGUGAGUGAUGAAGGCCUUAGGGUUGUAAAGCUCUUUCACCGGGGAAGAUAAUGACGGUACCCGGAGAAGAAGCCCCGGCUAACUUCGUGCCAGCCGCCGCAGUAA
rnacentral:rRNA from 1 species